rnacentral:rRNA from 1 species
UACGGAGGGUGCAAGCGUUAUCCGGAUUCACUGGGUUUAAAGGGUGCGUAGGUGGGUCUGUAAGUCAGUGGUGAAAUCUCCGAGCUUAACUUGGAAACUGCCAUUGAUACUAUAGCUCUUGAAUUUUCUGGAGGUAAGCGGAAUAUGUCAUGUAGCGGUGAAAUGCUUAGAUAUGACAUAGAACACCAAUUGCGAAGGCAGCUUGCUACAGGAAUAUUGACACUGAGGCACGAAAGCGUGGGGAUCAAACAGG